GAUGAACGCUGGCGGCGUGCCUAAUACAUGCAAGUCGAGCGAACAGACGAGGAGCUUGCUCCUCUGACGUUAGCGGCGGACGGGUGAGUAACACGUGGAUAACCUACCUAUAAGACUGGGAUAACUUCGGGAAACCGGAGCUAAUACCGGAUAAUAUAUUGAACCGCAUGGUUCAAUAGUGAAAGACGGUUUUGCUGUCACUUAUAGAUGGAUCCGCGCCGCAUUAGCUAGUUGGUAAGGUAACGGCUUACCAAGGCAACGAUGCGUAGCCGACCUGAGAGGGUGAUCGGCCACACUGGAACUGAGACACGGUCCAGACUCCUACGGGAGGCAGCAGUAGGGAAUCUUCCGCAACGGGCGAAAGCUUGACGGAGCAACGCCGCGUGAGUGAUGAAGGUCUUCGGAUCGUAAAACUCUGUUAUUAGGGAAGAACAAAUGUGUAAGUAACUAUGCACGUCUUGACGGUACCUAAUCAGAAGGCCACGGCUAACUACGUG
rnacentral:rRNA from 1 species